rnacentral:rRNA from 1 species
GAUGAACGCUGGCGGCGUGCCUAAUACAUGCAAGUCGAGCGAACAGAUGAGGAGCUUGCUCCUCUGACGUUAGCGGCGGACGGGUGAGUAACACGUGGAUAACCUACCUAUAAGACUGGGAUAACUUCGGGAAACCGGAGCUAAUACCGGAUAAUAUAUUGAACCGCAUGGUUCAAUAGUGAAAGACGGUUUUGCUGUCACUUAUAGAUGGAUCCGCGCCGCAUUAGCUAGUUGGUAAGGUAACGGCUUACCAAGGCAACGAUGCGUAGCCGACCUGAGAGGGUGAUCGGCCACACUGGAACUGAGACACGGUCCAGACUCCUACGGGAGGCAGCAGUAGGGAAUCUUCCGCAAUGGGCGAAAGCUUGACGGAGCAACGCCGCGUGAGUGAUGAAGGUCUUCGGAUCGUAAAACUCUGUUAUUAGGGAAGAACAAAUGUGUAAGUAACUAUGCACGUCUUGACGGUACCUAAUCAGAAAGCCACAGCUAACUACGUG